rnacentral:rRNA from 1 species
GAACGCUGGCCGGCGUGCCUAAUACAUGCUAGUCCAGCGAGCGGAACUAACAGAUUUACUUCGGUAAUGACUUUAGGAAAGCGAGCGGCGGAUGGGUGAGUAACACGUGGGGAACCUGCCCCAUAGUCUGGGAUACCACUUGGAAACAGGUGCUAAUACCGGAUAACAAAGCACAUCGCAUGAUCAGCUUUUAAAAGGCGGCGUAAACUGUCGCUAUGGGAUGGCCCCGCGGUGCAUUAUCUACUUGGUAAUGUAAAGGCUUACCAAGGCGAUGAUGCAUAGCCGAGUUGACAGACUGAUCGGCCACAUUGUGGACUGAUACACGGCCCAAACUCCUACUGGAGGCAGCAGUAUGGAAUCUUCCACAAUGGACGCAAGUCUGAUGGAGCAACGCCACGUGAGUGAAGAACGUUUUCGGAUCGUAGAGCUCUGUUGUUGGUGAAGAAGGAUAGAGGUAGUAACUGGCCUUUAUUUGACGGUAAUCAGCCACAAAGUCUCGGCUAACUACGUGGCACCACCCGCGGCAAUACAUAGGUGGCAAGCCGUUGUCCGGAUUUAUUGGGCGUCAAGCGAGCGCAUGCGGAAGAAUAAGUCUGAUGUGAAAGCCCUCGGCUUAGCCGAGGAACUGCAUCGCAAACUGUUUUUCUUGAGUGCUCAAGACGAUAGUGGAACUCCAUGUGUAGCGUUGGAAUGCGUAGAUAUAUGGAAGAACACCAGGGGCGAAGGCGGCCCUCUGGUCUGCAACUGACGCAGAGGCUCGCAAGCAUGGGUAGCAAUCAGGAUUAGAUACCCUGGUAGUCCAUGCCGUCAACGAUGAGUGCUAAGUGUUGGGAGGUUUCCGCCUCUCAGUGUUGCAGCUAACGCAUUAAGCACUCCGCGUGGGGAGUACGACCGCAAGGUUGAAACUCAAAGGAAUUGACGGGGGCCCGCACAAGCGGUGGAGCAUGUGGUUUAAUUAGAAGCAACGCGAAGAACCUUAACAGGUCUUGACAUCUAGUGUCAUUUGUAGAGAUACAAAGUUCCGUUCGGGGACGUUAAGACAGGUGGUGCAUGGCUGUCGUCAGCAUCGUGUCAGUGAGUAUGUCUGGGCUCAAGUGCCGCGCAAUCGAGUCGCGAACUCCGUUGUUUCAUUUAGUGUGACCGAGCUAUCUAUAGUUGGGUGCACUUCCUAGAUAGAGAACUUGCGCGGGCUGACAUAAUCCAGGACGGCAAGUGUGGGCGCAUAGUACAGUUCAUAGUUCAAUUCUAUGGCNCUCACUUCAUUGCACUCUGCGCGUCUGACUACAAGCGCUGUCUUACCAUAUUGCGCGACCAGUAAGCAUACAGAGCAACGCCGGAGGCGCUGCAGUAACGGACUAAGGCGGACAUGCUCUUGAACACGCUCGUUCUUACAGAUGUCUGGAUCUAGUCACGUAUUGCGAAUCUCGUACAUGCAGCGUAAGCAUGGACAUCGUUUAGCUAAGUCGGCUGUACUCCAAGCAACUGNCCGGCGCGAUGAGUAUUACGCUCUACCGCUGGUGACCUUCUGUCACCACUACCCGCCCGCGUUCGACAUCCCAUAGGAGAUGUCAUGACAAUGACACGCAAAAGU